GGCACUGUGGCAUAGUGGUUAGCACUGUUGCCUCACAGCAACCCAAGUCGUGGGUUCGAUUCCAGCCUGGGGCU